GACGAACGCUGGCGGCGUGCUUAACACAUGCAAGUCGAACGGAAAGGCCCUGCUUUUGUGGGGUGCUCGAGUGGCGAACGGGUGUGUAACACGUGAGUAACCUGCCCUUGACUGUGUGAUAACUUCAGGAAACUGGGGCUAAUACCGGAUAGGAGCUCCUGCUGCAUGGUGGGGGUUGGAAAGUUUCGGCGGUUGGGGAUGUACUCGCGGCUUAUGAGCUUGUUGGUGGGGUAGUGGCAUACCAAGGCUUUGACGGAUAGCCGGCCUGAGAGGGUGACCGGGGACAUGGGGACUGAGGUACGGCGCAGACGCGUACGGGAGGCAGCAGGGGAGAAUAUUGCACAAUGGGGCGAAGCGUGAUGCAACAGCGCCGCGUGCGGGAUGACGGCCUUCGGGUGGUAAACCGCUUUCGCCUGUGACGAAGCGGGAGUGACGGUAAUGGGUAAAGAAGCACCGGCUAACUACGUG
rnacentral:rRNA from 1 species